GUGGUCUGUGUUUAGUAUUCAGGUGGUCUGUGUUUAGUAUUCAGGUGGUCUGUGUUUAGUAUUCAGGUGGUCUGUGUUAUGGUCUGUGUUUAGUAUUCAGGUGGUCUGUGUUUAGUAUUCAGGUGGUCUGUGUUUAGUACUAAGGUGGUCUGUGUUUAGUACUAAGGUGGUCUGUGUUUAGUAUUAAGGUGGUCUGUGUUUAGUAUUAAGGUGGUCUGUGUUUAGUAUUAAGGUGGUCUGUGUUUAGUAUUAAGGUGGUCUGUGUUUAGUAUUAAGGUGGUCUGUGUUUAGUAUUAAGGUGGUCUGUGUUUAGUAUUCAGGUGGUCUGUGUUUAGUAUUAAGGUGGUCUGUGUUUAGUAUUAAGGUGGUCUGUGUUUAGUAUUCAGGUGGUCUGUGUUUAGUAUUAAGGUGGUCUGUGUUAUGGUCCGUGUUUAUUAUUCAGGUGGUCUGUGUUUAGUAUUAAGUUGGUCUGUGUUUAGUAUUAAGGUGGUCUGUGUUUAGUACUAAGGUGGUCUGUGUUUAGUAUUAAGGUGGUCUGUGUUAUGGUCCGUGUUUAUUAUUCAGGUGGUCUGUGUUAUGGUCUGUGUUUAUUAUUCAGGUGGUCUGUGUUUAGUAUUCAGGUGGUCUGUGUUAUUGUCUGUGUUUAGUAUUCAGGUGGUCUGUGUUAUUGUCUGUGUUUAGUAUUCAGGUGGUCUGUGUUAUUGUCUGUGUUUAGUAUUCAGGUGGUCUGUGUUUAGUAUUAAGGUGGUCUGUGUUAUGGUAGGUGUUUAGUAUUCAGGUAGUCUUACUCGGUGCGAUGGUGGCGUGAGGUCUGCAGGGGGGAAUGGGGUAGGGUACCGGCCGCUGAGGGUUGUAGGACGACGGAGACUGGAGGAGAGAGGAAGAAAAACAAACGUAAUGAUACUAAAUUAUUCACUGACCAAUCAAAAUAAUGAAUCUGACUCACUGACCAAUCAAAAUAAUGAAUCUGACUCACUGAGCAAUCAAAAUAAUGACUCUGACUUCCUGAAGCAGAGUAGUUCGAUUCAACUUUUGUCUUUAAAAAAUGUUUGCUUUUUUUACAAACAUUUUGUAAAUGGAUCUUGUGAAAGGUGAUCAUUCAUGUGUCUUCCCAAAUGGUACCAUAUUCCCUACAUAGUGAGCCCGGGUCAAAAGUAAUGCACUAUAAAAAAGGGAAUUAGGGUGCCAUUUUGGACUCGUUUCAGACUUGUUUUGAAAUAAAGAGCUCCACCUAGUGGUUGAGAAUGAAAGUA